ensembl:lncRNA
UGUGGAUGCAUCUCAAGAAGAUGGGUCAUUAGGCAGACUUGUCAACGACAACCACAUCAGUCCAAGUGCUAAGAUGAAAAUAUUAAAUAUCAAUGGAAAGCCCCAUCUAUGCUUAUUUGCAAGCAGAGACAUAAGUCCAGGCGAAGAAAUAGACUAUAAUUAUGGUGACUCGGAUUGGCUCUGGAGAUGCAAGACGGAGACCAGCCAGAUUCAGAAGACUGUGAGCUGCCUAAAGCCGCAACCAAACAGCUUUCCAAACAAUGAUCUGGACCUGAAACAUCCAGAGCCUGAAAGGGAUCUUGAUGAAGAAAUGCCUCAGCAAGGCUCAGAAGCCAUGCAUUCUUCUUCAGUGCAAGAUUUUGAAGAGACUGAGACCAGCCAGAUUCAGAAGACUGUGAGCUGCCUAAAGCCGCAACCAAACAGCUUUCCAAACAAUGAUCUGGACCUGAAACAUCCAGAGCCUGAAAGGGAUCUUGAUGAAGAAAUGCCUCAGCAAGGCUCAGAAGCCAUGCAUUCUUCUUCAGUGCAAGAUUUUGAAGAGACUGAGACCAGCCAGAUUCAGAAGACUGUGAGCUGCCUAAAGCCGCAACCAAACAGCUUUCCAAACAAUGAUCUGGACCUGAAACAUCCAGAGCCUGAAAGGUGUCACAAUCAUCGUCUGGUGUGCACAACAAUAUCAUCUUUGGACAAGUGCAUUCAGUGUGUGGGACUGGUUUCCUCCCUCAAGUGGCUUGGCUAUAAGUGCAAAGAUGAAAUUGCAUUAAGUGAUGCUGAAACAAAGGACAGUGAGAGUGAAUCAGAUGAUGAUGACACAUCACUCACAAUGUCGGCGUGUGGCACCAGUGAGCCUGUACAUGCAGUAGCUGAUUCCACAAACACAGCGCAGCCCCAAGACACUGUAGAUUGUGAUGAAGGACUACUCACAAUGCCUGCAGCAAGUGAGACUGCUGCUCCCUCUGAAGAGAAAAAUGCUGCUCAAUCCCACAAUUCCCGAAGAGCUCCCAAAAACAUGUGGUCCAAGGCUGAGGUUGCUGCAGUGAUGAGGCAUUUGAAAGACCACAUAAACGAAGGGAAACUAGCCACCAAAAAUGAAUGCAGUCAUUGCAAAUUGGUAGAAGAUCCGGUGUUGGCAGGAAGAACAGUUCAAAACAUAAGAGAUUUUGUAAGAAACAGAGGAUUAACUGCAAAAAGGCAGAAAAAAAUGAACUAAAAUAACUGUUUAGAGAGCUGUGGUUUUACAUCUUGGUCAGAUUGCCAAUUGUUGUUAACACUGAUGUUCUGUUUAAAGAAAAAAAAGUUCUUGUUAAAUACAGAAGUAGUUUGUAUUUCAUAAUUUUUACAUUUAAUUUAUUUAGGGUUUUUUUUGACGGGUUAUAUUUAAAAUAAAAAAUUAUAAAUGCAUAUUUUCUCCCCUUAAUAUUUACCUUUAAACUAUUAAAAUUCAUUUUAAAUGUUUUUAAUUUUUCUGUUUUCUAUAUUUUUAUAUUUCUGUGGGAAGCGUGGGCAUUUUUGUCCAUAGAUUUCUUUUUUUAUUUAUGGUUAAAAUUAAUGUUCAGAUCCAAGAACACUAAUAAAAUGAUGUUCCAGUAAUCCUGUGUCCUGUCAGAUGUGUAUUCAUGGUAAUGAUGAGCUAUUUAAAUAUUACAUCAUUGUCCCUUUAAAGACCCAAUAUUGCUUUUUUUGGACCUCAUAAAACACAUUGUUGUCAAGUGGACAAUGUCUCCAGAAAACACAAUAGAGUCUGGUUGGUGUGUAUCAGUGUAUCUAGACUUCUAUAGGGAGUGUAUGAGGUCUGAAGUGACCCAAAUUUUUUUCAGAUUUUUUCGAACACUUUAACCUCGCUCCCUUGGCUCUAAGUCCUUUCAAAAGGGUAGUCCACUUAAACCACCACCGGGCGGAUUGACGUAGUAUAGUCCCGCCAUACCACAUAGACCCGUAUGUGUGUGUGUGUGUGUGUGUGUGACAGAGUUCAGUGAGACCAUGGAGGAGAAGAGGGGAGAGGGGGCAGAAUCGGGAGGGAGUUAAGCUUCCUGACAGCCUGAUGGAUGAAGCUGUCCUUCAGUCUGCUGGUCCUGGCCUGGAGACUCCGCAGUCUCCUCCCCGACGGCAGCAGCUUGAAGAAGCUUUGCAUUGGGUGCGUGGGAUUAGCCGCU